UACGGAGGGAGCUAGCGUUGUUCGGAAUUACUGGGCGUAAAGCGCACGUAGGCGGCUUUGUAAGUUAGAGGUGAAAGCCCGGGGCUCAACCCCGGAAUUGCCUUUAAGACUGCAUCGCUUGAAUCCAGGAGAGGUGAGUGGAAUUCCGAGUGUAGAGGUGAAAUUCGCAGAUAUUCGGAAGAACACCAGUGGCGAAGGCGGCUCACUGGACUGGUAUUGACGCUGAGGUGGCGAAAGCGUGGGGAGCAAACAGG
rnacentral:rRNA from 1 species